rnacentral:lncRNA from 1 species
UCCUGCCUCAGCCUCCAGAGUAGCUGGGAUUACAGGUGCCUGCCACCCACACCUGGCUAAUUUUUACAUUUUUAGUAGAGACAGGGUUUCACCAUGUUGGCCAGGCUGGUCUCAAACUCUUGACCUCAAGUGAUUUGCUCGCCUCGGCCUCCCAGUGUUGGGAUUACAGGUGUGAGCCACUGUGCCCGGCCUCCCCAGUUUUCCAGAGUUUUGGCAAGCAAGUCUAAGACCAGACUGGCUGGACGUGUCUUUACUCUAAAAGCAUGCUAUAGAAAGAAUACUUUCUGAUGGGCGGGUGCGGGGUUCCACCCUCUUAGAGCUCCCUGAGAUGGCCUGCAUUCCUAAGUCCCUAUUAAAUAUUCCUUUCUGAGAACUGGGUUUGUCAGCCUUAUUCUUCUGCCUUUCAGUUCCCUUGGCCUUUAGGGGUGGGUUUGCGUAUACCAGCUACUGUGGAACAUUUGCUGAGCCAGGCAGGAGCUGAAGAACUAAGAAAUUGAUCCUUUUGUAGUUCCUAAGCAUGAUGAUUGGGUGUUCAUGUGCUUAUGUGAGAUGUGCCUUUCUCAAACCUUGUUAUGACAUCAGCACAUUAUUCAUCUGAUAUGAAAAAAAAAAAAAGAAAUGGGUAAGGGGAAUGAAGCAUCUGUGCGUGAAACUCCAGGGUGGCCAGCAACAUCUAUGUGGGGUGGUGUGACACCUCUGUUAGAUGCUUGUGGACCUCCGCAUGAGUAAUGGGACAUCCCGAAAACUCAAAAGGAGUUAUUAACUGAAAGCCAUAUAGUGCACUGCGAUAGGGAAGGGUGGUGGAUAACCUAUCCAGUGGGCUGGC